AAGCGGAUGGCAGAGUGGCUAAAUGCGGGUUCUGCUAAGGACUUUCCUAAUAAUGGAACAUGGGUUCGAAUCCCAUUCCGCCCA
rnacentral:tRNA from 1 species